GACGAACGCUGGCGGCGUGCUUAACACAUGCAAGUCGAACGGAAAGGCCCUGCUUUUGUGGGGUGCUCGAGUGGCGAACGGGUGAGUAACACGUGAGUAACCUGCCCUUGACUUUGGGAUAACUUCAGGAAACUGGGGCUAAUACCGGAUAGGAGCUCCUGCUGCAUGGUGGGGGUUGGAAAGUUUCGGCGGUUGGGGAUGGACUCGCGGCUUAUCAGCUUGUUGGUGGGGUAGUGGCUUACCAAGGCUUUGACGGGUAGCCGGCCUGAGAGGGUGACCGGCCACAUUGGGACUGAGAUACGGCCCAGACUCCUACGGGAGGCAGCAGUGGGGAAUAUUGCACAAUGGGCGGAAGCCUGAUGCAGCAACGCCGCGUGCGGGAUGACGGCCUUCGGGUUGUAAACCGCUUUCGCCUGUGACGAAGCGUGAGUGACGGUAAUGGGUAAAGAAGCACCGGCUAACUACGUGCCAGCAGCCGCGGUGAUACGUAGGGUGCGAGCGUUGUCCGGAUUUAUUGGGCGUAAAGGGCUCGUAGGUGGUUGAUCGCGUCGGAAGUGUAAUCUUGGGGCUUAACCCUGAGCGUGCUUUCGAUACGGGUUGACUUGAGGAAGGUAGGGGAGAAUGGAAUUCCUGGUGGAGCGGUGGAAUGCGCAGAUAUCAGGAGGAACACCAGUGGCGAAGGCGGUUCUCUGGGCCUUUCCUGACGCUGAGGAGCGAAAGCGUGGGGAGCGAACAGGCUUAGAUACCCUGGUAGUCCACGCUGUAAACGGUGGGUACUAGGUGUGGGGUCCAUUCCACGGGUUCCGUGCCGUAGCUAACGCUUUAAGUACCCCGCCUGGGGAGUACGGCCGCAAGGCUAAAACUCAAAGGAAUUGACGGGGCCCCGCACAAGCGGCGGAGCAUGCGGAUUAAUUCGAUGCAACGCGUAGAACCUUACCUGGGUUUGACAUGGAUCGGGAGCGCUCAGAGAUGGGUGUGCCUCUUUUGGGGUCGGUUCACAGGUGGUGCAUGGCUGUCGUCAGCUCGUGUCGUGAGAUGUUGGGUUAAGUCCCGCAACGAGCGCAACCCUUGUUCACUGUUGCCAGCACGUUAUGGUGGGGACUCAGUGGAGACCGCCGAGGUCAACUCGGAGGAAGGUGGGGAUGACGUCAAGUCAUCAUGCCCCUUAUGUCCAGGGCUUCACGCAUGCUACAAUGGCUGGUACAGAGAGUGGCGAGCCUGUGAGGGUGAGCGAAUCUCGGAAAGCCGGUCUCAGUUCGGAUUGGGGUCUGCAACUCGACCUCAUGAAGUCGGAGUCGCUAGUAAUCGCAGAUCAGCAACGCUGCGGUGAAUACGUUCCCGGG
rnacentral:rRNA from 1 species